AGUUGGUGGGAACAGACGCAAAGAUCCACAGCCAAACAUUAGACAGAGAGAGCCCCAAUUGGAGAUCUCCAUCAGGUUCCUCCCUUUGAAGCUCAGGGAAGCCCAAAGAAGCGGGAGAUGAAGAAUUGUAGGAACAAGAGGGGUCAAGAACACCGGGAGAACACAGCCCACAGAAUCAACUAAGCUGGACUCAUGGGGGCUCAUAGAGACUGAAGCAGUAAUCAUGGGGUCUGCAUGGGUCUGCACUAGAGGCAACUGCAGGAAUGUCUACUAUUCCACCCCAAACAGAAAAGAGAGCUCAGAAGAAGACCGAGGGGAAGCUGGUCACAGAAGAUCUAUGCAAGCAAGUUUUGAAGACAUUUGAUGGGCUCCUGUAGAACACACGGCAAUAUGUCCUUAUCCACAAUGCAUCCAGUACAUUAAAAAGACUGACAUGUGUGCUGGUCACCCCUCUGGGUCUUGGGAGUAUGAACACUCAUCACAGAGUCAGAUAUGCCUGCCUGGGCUACAUCUAAGGAGAACCGUACUUGGAAUAGUUUGAUGGCUGCCUUCUCACGUCAAUUAAAUGGGAACUGAUGUGAAGAUGA